rnacentral:rRNA from 1 species
CUACGUGCCAGCAGCCGCGGUAAUACGGAAGGUCCGGGCGUUAUCCGGAUUUAUUGGGUUUAAAGGGAGCGUAGGCUGGAGAUUAAGUGUGUUGUGAAAUGUAGACGCUCAACGUCUGACUUGCAGCGCAUACUGGUUUCCUUGAGUACGCACAACGUUGGCGGAAUUCGUCGUGUAGCGGUGAAAUGCUUAGAUAUGACGAAGAACUCCGAUUGCGAAGGCAGCUGACGGGAGCGCAACUGACGCUUAAGCUCGAAGGUGCGGGUAUCGAACAGGAUUAGAUACCCUGGUAGUCCGCACAGUAAACGAUGGAUGCCCGCUGUUGGUACCUGGUAUCAGCGGCUAAGCGAAAGCAUUAAGCAUCCCACCUGGGGAGUACGCCGGCAACGGUGAAACUCAAAGGAAUUGACGGGGGCCCGCACAAGCGGAGGAACAUGUGGUUUAAUUCGAUGAUACGCGAGGAACCUUACCAGGGCUU